rnacentral:rRNA from 1 species
UACGUAGGGGCCAAGCGUUGUCCGGAUUUAUUGGGCGUAAAGAGCUCGUAGGCGGUUCGGCAAGUCGAAUGUGAAAUCUCCACGCUCAACGUGGAGGGGUCAUUCGAUACUGCCGUGACUUGAGUACGGUAGGGGAGUGUGGAAUUCCCGGUGUAGCGGUGAAAUGCGCAGAGAUCGGGAGGAACACCCGUAGCGAGGGCGGCACUCUGGGCCGAUACUGACGCUGAGGAGCGAAAGCGUGGGGAGCGAACAGG